ensembl:lncRNA
UUUCAGUUUUCUUUCAUGACAAUACAUCCAAACUCUCAUCCAUCGAUCCAGCCAUCCAUCUGAAGCAAAAGCUGUGUGUGUGUGCUUGCUGGUUAACAUCUGAAUGCAGAGGAAAUAUAAAUUGCUUACAACCUGAUGUCUUGAUGCCCUGGAAAGAACAGCACCUCUCUUCAGCAAGCUUGGACAGCUGAAUAACAUUCUACAAUGUCCUAACACUAUCCACACCAUUCAUACAUGUCUGUCAAGUCAAUUAUUAUGAAGGAGCAGUAUACAGAAUGAGCUGUAAUACAUUAUGUAUCUUUGUUUUAGUCAGAAAUAGGACUAAGGCCAGUUUUCAGAUUGUGACACAAACUGCCAUAUGGACAUCAUUGUACCUGGUUGGUGGAAAGUAAAACAUGUUUUAACCCUUUCAGGCAGUACACUGAUGUUACAUUCCACCAGCAGAAUGGAAAUCAACUUAUCCGACAUUUUCAAUCAGUAUAAACAAAUGAAUUAUUUUAUCGCUACAAGUCUGUUAUAAUAUUAGUCAGGGCACUCUUGGGUUUCAGUGUGUAGAGUAUCAUGACUCUGUGUUUAGCUGCUGGGGAGCAGGGUGGUAGCAAAGGGGAGAAGUGUGAGCCCCCUGCUAGGUAAACAAUUCAUACCUCUCCACAAUAACAUUGUUACAGAGAUCAAAUGGACAGCACAACUAUAGCUUUUUUCGAGUUAAAUACUGUAUACAACUGCCAC